AGCCUGAACGCUGGCGGCGUGGCUAAGACAUGCAAGUCGUACGGAUGUAGCAAUACAUCAGUGGCGAACGGGUGAGUAAUGAAUCGCUAAUGUGCCCCGGACUCUGGGAUAGCUGCCCGAAAGGGCAGGUAAUACCAGAUGAUAUAACUUUGUCGCAUGACAGAGUUCUCAAAGGUCCGCCGGUCUGGGAGCAGGCGAUUUCGUAUCAGCUAGUUGGUGAGGUAACGGCUCACCAAGGCGACGACGCGUAGCCGGACUGAGAGGUUGGCCGGCCACAUUGGGACUGAGACACUGCCCAGACUCCUACGGGGGGCUGCAGUAACGAAUCUUCCGCAAUGCACGAAAGUGUGACGGAGCGACGCCGCGUGUGGGAUGAAGUUCUUCGGAAUGUAAACCACUGUCGAGGGGUUAGAAAGUUCUGAUCAACCCCAGAGGAAGGCACGGCUAACUCUGCGCCAGCAGCCGCGGU
rnacentral:rRNA from 1 species